UCGGCCAUUUGGAAAAAUGAGGAAACAUAUUCUGAGGGAAGUUUUAAUUUUGAAUUUAUCACUGAAGAGGAAGCUAAAAUGAAGGGAUUGUAUUAUUUAAAUGAUCCAAUAACCAUUAUGGAAGGAUAUUUUCCACCCCCAAAAAAAGUUAAAAAGCACCAAAUUCCAACUGGCAAUGAUUAUUUGGAGUUAUUCCAACAUUACCCAUCACGCUUAAUGGACACGAAUAAAUCCACUUGGUCUAGUGUGAGAGUGGAUCGAUAUGGUUUCGGAUGCGAUCUCGAUAUGUCAGUAUCAAAUGACGUUUCUCUUGAAAUAAGGGGGGAAGCAGCUGAUAGUUACAAGAAAAUAAUUAAUUUAUACCCUCA